AACGAACGCUGGCGGCAGGCUUAACACAUGCAAGUCGAGCGCCCCGCAAGGGGAGCGGCAGACGGGUGAGUAACGCGUGGGAAUCUACCCAUCUCUACGGAAUAACGCAUGGAAACGUGUGCUAAUACCGUAUACGUCCUUCGGGAGAAAGAUUUAUCGGAGAUGGAUGAGCCCGCGUUGGAUUAGCUAGUUGGUGGGGUAAAGGCCUACCAAGGCGACGAUCCAUAGCUGGUCGGAGAGGAUGAUCAGCCACACUGGGACUGAGACACGGCCCAGACUCCUACGGGAGGCAGCAGUGGGGAAUAUUGGACACUGGGCGCAAGCCUGAUCCAGCCAUGCCGCGUGAGUGAUGAAGGCCCUAGGGUUGUAAGGCUCUUUCACCGGUGAAGAUAAUGACGGUAACCGGAGAAGAAGCCCCGGCUAACUUCGUGCCAGCCGCCGCGGUAAAAC
rnacentral:rRNA from 1 species